rnacentral:snRNA from 1 species
GGAUGUGGGAGCAAUCUGGCUGCCAUAUCUGUCACCCCAUUGAUUGACAGGGUGGGUUUGACUGACCUGAGUGGCUAGGCGGGGGUUGCUUUCUUCUCUCACUGUUCCACGUAUGUCUAUCCUGAAGCUAUGUGCUUGGUUGAAGAAGAUGACCUUCUCUGAAGAGAGGAAGAUUGGUCUCUGGUCAAGGGUACCAGUCAAGGGUAUACAGUAGCUGCAUUCCCCUGCUAGAACUUCCAAACAACAAGGUCAACCAAGCAUGAAAAGAGACACAGCUCUGAGUGGCUCUUCCUCAUCAUUGCCACUAGGCCAGGAGCUUGA